GGGAAUAACAAUGAAGGACUGAUUCCUCCCUUUACAACCAGGUCAGAACCAUAUAGCUUUUUCCCAUUUCUAAAACUGAUGACAAACCUAUUUGAAAAAGGAACAUGGUAGAAGGAUUUUUUUCCUCCACAGGUGAAAUUAUCCAGUCAUAAAAGAUAAUGUUAACCUAAUUAUUUGCUAUGCACUGUUAAAAGGAAUAAUUGGAACUCAGAAAUUAUUCAGCCCUCUAAAACUUUAGGUAAAUCACCAAAGUUCUAAUUUUCUGGGAUUGCUUCUAUACACAGUACUGCUAUAGCUCUUUCAAAUUUUAUUUAAUUCAUCAAAAGACUCUGUCUUUUUUAUGGGAAUAUCUGAGUGCUUGAGGUGGCAAUAUGUUUACAUAGAAAGACAUGAAGUACAAGACACAUAGAACUGUAGAAAAAAAGAUUUGGUAAAGAAAAUGGGAAAAAAAAAAGGAAUGCUCCAAGUACUCAAAAGGGAAGGAGAAGCAACAGCUGAAAGAUGUGUGAUCCUAGGUGUAUGGAUUCUAGUGCUGACAUUAUUGCAAACUAAUUUUGCUAAUAGCUAAAGUCAGGGAUUCUGGUUGGAAGUUUCCAGGCUUUGGUAGAUCCCAAAAUCUAAGUUAAUUCAUUAAUUUAACUUAAUGAUAAUUAAAUUGACUCCAUUCUCAAGAUGCCAUUGAUCUGACAUUUUUAUUGAGGGUGUCACAGUAGUCCCUUCAAAGCAGGCCUCCUGUUUGAGGUACCAUAAUAGAAAAAAUGAGAGAUGGUCAACUCUGAGCAUGCCCAUGAAGCUGAGAGAAUGGGUAUCAGCAGCUUCUUAGCUGGGGGAAUGUGGUUGUGAUCAGAUGGUUUUUUCCCAAUAGAGACAGUUUUCUAAAGACAAGAAAAGUUUCACAUUUUCCCUUGACAUAAAUUCAACAAACACUAUCUCUGACUGCUUCAUGUAUCAGGAGGAAAUGUGCAGUCUCUAUUCUAUGAUCCAAGGGCAUUGCUGAUGAAGCAGCAGCCACCAAAAAGCCAUCUCUCAUCAAAAAGUCUUGGAAGCUUCCUUAGGCACUAAGGGAUCUUGGGCUAGGAGCCCCCCCACUGAGGAUUUAAAUCCCCACCCAAAUCUAGAACUUGCCCNGGGGGGGGGGGGGGGGGGGGUGGGUCACUCUCCUUGGGACAACAGGAUUCAUGCUGGUAGCUGUCUUGAAUGUUUUGUGUGUUUACAGUCGGAGAAGAUCCAGAGACUUUACACAUUGGAAAAAAAAAAAAACAGCUGAGAGCUACUUUCUGUUGACUACAGAGCAAGUGGCCAUGCUCUUGACUCACUCCAUCCUCAUUCUCCCUUCUCUUAUGUUUCCCUGGGUUGAACCUCUUUGGGGAGAAAAUUGGAAGUAUGAGUGCCAUUUAUCAGGCUGAGCAUGUGACUUAGGCACAUGAGCUGUAAAUUUCUGAGUGCUGCAUGGCCUCUGCAGUGGCUUGGGCCUCAGGGGGAUGGCUUGAUGGUGUUAGCACAGCUGGUAUUCCACUCAGCCUCACACACUCCUCAUUCCUGCUUGAGUGGAGUGGCAGCAGCAGGCACUCUCUGACUGCCGUGGGCAGGCUGGAUGAUCCACUUGCCAAGGUGCCUUUGGAGCAACUCAGAGUAAACUGAGGUGAAAUCUUGACAGGUACAAACUUGGGGUCAUGAUUCUCCAAAAGUUCCUAAGAUCUCAAAGCCCUAAAACACUUUUUUUUUUUUUUUUUUUUUUUUUUUUUAGGGCUGUACUUGUGGCAUGUGGAAAUUCCCAGGCUAGGGGUUGAGUUGAAGCUGUAGCCACCAGCCUACACACAGCCACAGCAACACUGGAUCCAAGCCGUGUCUGUGAACUACAUCACAGCUCACAGCAAUGCUGGAUCCUUAACCCACUCUGUGGGGCCAGGGAUCAAACCUGCAUCCUCAUGGAUACUAGUAAGAUUUGUUUCCACUGUGCCACAAUGGAAUUCCCAGCUCUAGAACUCAAAUUUUGAGUGAAACUCUUUCAGAGAUCUUUUGGGACUAUUCUUGCAUUCUUGAAUCCCAGACUAGUGUCAGCUUGGGUUGACAGUGUUGUAGCACUGGCCCUGAUCUAGGCUGAAGUCGCUGAAGCCUGCCUCAGCAACAGCAUGGGGCCUUGAGCAGAUACAGUUAGGAACUACUUGCUGUUUCCAGGAAAAUGCAUCAUAAAAUGGAAAUCCUUCUAAUCAGUUUGAACGUAGUAUAUCCCCGACACUGCAUUUGUGUUUAUAUGCAUGUGCUGAGGUGAAAUAACUAGGGAAUAGUUGGUCUUCUUGGUUAUGAAGCUAUAUGAAAAUACUGCGUAAGAUAAGUGAGGUUGAAAGUAGUCCAUUCUCCUUCCCUCAUCUUUAAAGAGGUCUAGAAUAUUGGGAGAAGUAAAAUUUUCCUUUAGCCCUCUUUGACAAAAUAAGCUUUAAGGAGCAUGCAAAAAAAAAAAAAA
rnacentral:lncRNA from 1 species